UUGUUUAUUCACAUUCUUUGUUGAAUACUUUUGAACCUGUUUGUUCUUUGGAUGUUUUGAAGUUUGUGGUGAUCAAUAUGCGCUACCAGUUUAAGAGAGGCUAAUAAGAAUGUUAGUUCAUAGUUUAUUAAGUAUCAAAUUUCUCUCUUAAAAAAAAAGAUCAAAUGUCUAGUUAUUUUCAUAUUUUUAGUGAUCAAAGUAUAAAUAAAAUGAUUGUAUCAUUUUCUCUACCUUUCAACAGAGAAAUUUAUUCGACCCAAAAUAACUGUAAUUUAUAAAUAUU
rnacentral:lncRNA from 1 species